GCUUAGCCCUAAACACAAAUAAUUACAUAAACAAGAUUAUUUGCUAGAGUACUACCAGCAACAGCUUAAAACUCAAAGGACUUGGCGGUGCUUUAUAUCCUUC
rnacentral:rRNA from 1 species